ACACGGGUAGCAUAAUGGUAAUGCCCCAAACUGUUAAUUUGUCAGAUGUAGGUUCGAAUCCUACCCCGUGUG
rnacentral:tRNA from 2 species